rnacentral:lncRNA from 1 species
UGUAACCACUAGUAAAUGCGAUUAUUUUAUUCAAAUACACUAAUUUCAUCAUAGGGGUAGAGUGAUUGUUACAUUACAUAAAUCAAAAGACCAGUCCAAAGUUUAACAUAUAAAUUCAUUUUGGCACUCAUCACAACAUUAUUAACAGGACAUAUAUUAUCUUUUGUAACAUGCAAAACAAAGAAAAAUAUCAUUUAAAACCAUAGUUGAAACAGCCAAAGCUCAAAUAUUUCAACCAAAGGGCAAGAGCUAGUUUCACCAAUGUCACAUUAUUGACUAGCUGAACAAAAUUAACGACAACAAACUCGAAGAUUAUCCAAUCUAUCCUCGCAUGAGCUCAGUACCUGUGGUGGAGCUUCUCCUGUUCCACGAAGUGCAUAGCAUACCUACAUUCAUACGGGAUAUUUAACAUUCACAAGUUAACCACCAACUGCGAGAGAUUGAUAUUUUUGGCUACGUGGCCCAGAUACAUAAUUCAAUGCUAAUAGGGAAAUAUGAAUUUUCGUUAAAAAUAAAACACUGCAAAUAUACAUCAACCCACAAAUAAUGUUCACAAUUUAGAGAAAAAACCUCGUAAUCACAAUGAGAAAAAGAAAAGAAAAAAAAAUACAUAUGUUUUCCCUUGUCCAUGUCACAAAAUAUAUCCUUUUUCCAAUUAACUUUUCAUACAUCUAAUGUCAAAAUGCCAGAAGUGAUCAUUAGGUCCAAUUCUCUUAUACAAGAUAAGUCUUGACUCUGCACAAUUACUUAUUAUUCACUACCUAAUGGCUAAUGCUAUUGCUUACCAUAUCAUAUUCAAUUCCCCUAUUCCCAGUAUUAAGAAAAAAACAUGGCUACUGUGUAUGCCUGUAUGGUUCAUCAACAGACAACUUUGCCUAUUCAAGAAAUCCCCUUCUAUUAUCACAAGUGGAUACUUACAUCACCACUAAUGUCCCACAAUUUUGUCCCUUUUUUUAACUGUUACCUAUCCCUAUACAAAACUCACAUUAGAACAAAAGCCUCCACUUAAUAUUGGAUCUAUUUUGGAGGGGGAGUGUUGAGAAUUUAAAAUUAUGUUAUGAUACUAUGUGAAUACUAUGUCAUAAAUAAGAUAGACCUAGAGCUGAUUCAAUAUUAUGUGAAUAUUAUGUAGUAAUAGGCUUGGUUUUUGUUGUGAAUAUUAUGUUGUAAAUAGGAUAGACCAAGAGCUGAUUUGAUUAUGGUCUAGCCCCUAACCAAGGGAUUUGGUUGUACUCGUUAAUUAGUAUAAAUAAACACAUUGAAGGAUACUUCUGCAGGCAUUCAAAUCAAUAUAUGUUCCAAAUUCAAGUAUGUUGAGAUCAGAGAAAUUCAGAAAACCAUCCUGUCACAUUCUUCUUGACACAACACACAAACAGAGACAUUGAAGUCCAUUCAAAAACUCGAUGUCUACUUCCCACUUCAAGGCUUCAAGAUGAAGCAGAUUUUAGUUUUCAAUAUUUGAUACCAAAACAGAAGGAAAGAAGAAUUUCUACUAAAACUUAAAGAGGAUAUUAAUCCAUUGAAAAGCAUACCAAACUAAGUUCAUGUAUGGACGCACAAUGGAAAAAGUGAAAUGAUUUCCACCAGGCAAUCAUUCCGUAUGAUUGGUUACUAUGUGUCAUAAAUUGUUAGCUACAAUCUUGGUGACUAAACAAUGAUGCUUUGUAUUAAGUUGAAAUUUUUCACCAAAUUUUAGCUAAAACUUACUUUUCAAGUAUAAAAAACUAGAACUAUAAACCAUUUCAAUUCAAACCUCUGAAGCAAAACACAAUACUUAGACAACAGACUUGACACUAACACAUAGACAUCAAUAAUAGCUUAAGUUAAUGCAAUCACAUGUAUAAGUGCCAGACACCGUACACGUCUUUAAACUCAAUUAUAACCAAAUCUUUUACAAAAUCAAAUUCAUUUGAAACCAACAAAAGUUGACCACAAAAAUUCACCAAAUAGAAUCAUAACAAGCAAGUUGAACAGCAAACACCGAGCAAAAACCUAUCAGAAUACUGUUCAUUUCAAUAUUCAUUCAAAUGAAAUUUUCUCUUUCUCCUAGCAAUUCAAUCCUAAAAAAAUAUAAAAAUACAAUCCAUAAGCAGACUCAAUCAAGAAAAAUCAACAAUACCAUAACAUGUUUUCUUCAAGUAAAAAUUAAUCAAAAGAUCUAUCCUUUUUGGAUCUAUUUUGUUUCACUCCACAUAAUAAUUAAAGGAGCAUGUGCUCUAAUUUCUUUCACACCUUCAAGAAGAAUGCUACACGAGAAAUUUAAGGCAAGUUUUUGGGACUGCAUCACAGCAUAUUGGUCAAUAAUUUCUUUUCAAAAAGUGCAAAGAAUUGGCCAGUAGCCCAAUACUCCCUAGAUGCAUUUCUAGUUUAUGAAACAUUGUUACAUAUGGCAAAGGGCGUGAGCAUGACACUGAUACAUUUGAUUUUGAAGACUUAACAGGCUCCAAUCACAGCUACUUACUUUAUAGGCAAUUCUAAGGAGAGGUGAAUCUUUCUAACCAUGGGAUGCACUUUGAGACUCAUGGUAAUACUAAAUUUUAACAAACUAACUUUUAGGAAAUAAUUACCAAGUGAAAUAAUUUACUUUUGUAUAAAUUUGUAGUAGUGCAAAUGAGCAGUCAUACAAUUCUGUGUUUCAUGAAUAUCGGCAUGGGCAAUGGUUACAAUUAAUUUUUUUACAAACGGUUUAGAUCAAAUAUCAUUUUAAUUAGCAUGUGUGAACAUGUGCCUUUUUAAUUGAGGAAUUUAAUAUUGAUCGUUUGCUUUGAGCCAACAGUUUUUAUUGUUAAUAUUAUAUCCUUUCACUCUCAUAUUAACUAGCUCCCCUCACUUGCUAUGCCCCCUAUAUAUAAUGAUUAUGAUCUUAGCUAUAUGUGUGUGUGUGUGUGUGUCUUUGUAUAUAAUUUUAUAUUUUAGGUAGCAUUUUAUGAUGUUUCACAAUCUCAGAUCAUAAAAUAGGAUGUCAGUUAAGAUAAAACGUAUUGCGCCAUCAAUAUUAGAUGACACUACCAAAACAGGGAUUAAAUACAUUAACAAAACAGUCGUAAAUAUGUUGUUGAUGAAGUGCCAUUCAGAAAACCUUAAUGUCACAUUCUUAUCGACACAACAUACAAACACAGACAUAUAAAAUGCUUGAAUAGUUACUAUUUAAACCCGUCCAUCAAGAAUAUUGUUGGAAACCUAACUCUGACUUCAAGAUGAAGUAGGUUUUAAUUUUUAGUUCUCAAUACAAAAAACAGCUGCUAACAAUCAAAGAGAUCACCAAUCCAUUAAGAAGCAUAACAAACUAAGUUCAUGUCUAGAUUUACAGUGGAAAAAACGAAGAGAUUUCAUCCAGGCAAUCGUGAAUUUUUUUAUGGCUAACACUUAACACUAACUAAAUAAGUUGUUAGGUUGAAAAUUUUAGGCCAAGUUUUACAUCAAUCUUGUUUUUUAAAAAUAACACAAGAAACAUAACUUUCAGUUCAAAGUCAAUUUUAACCAAAUAAGUUUUACAAAACAAAAAUCAUUUGAAAUCAAAAAAGGUCAACCACAACAACAUACAUUCAAAUAGAAUCAUAACAAACAGUUCAACCGGUCUCGAGGCAAGGCAAAAACAAACACAAAGGAACUACUCCACACAAAAUGUAUAAAAACCUAAAAUGUUAGCAACUUCAAUUCAAUGAAGCACCAUCACAAACUCAAACUCAAUUUUAAGGAAAACAACUUCACAAGACCAAAUUCAUUUGAAAUCAACAAACAGUUUAGCAUCAAAAUUAAUAAAUCAAUUCAGUAUUCAUUAAAAUGAAUUUUUAUCCAUUUCUCCUAGCAAUUCAAUUCUAUAAUCAAAACAAAAAUCAACACAAUCCACAGCCAUACUCAAUCAACAAAAAUUAUCAAUAAAUAGAUCUGACUAAAUCCCUAGGUAAAAAUAAUUAAGAUCAAAACCGUUGAAAACCGCAAAAUCAAAUCUAGCUUGUAAAACAACAAGAAUCAUAAUGAUUAAAUUGAGAAAGAGAAUUACGAGUAGGUGCCGACGACGGGAACAACCAAUAGAAGAGCGCUGAUCCAAUUUUCGGAGACUUUGUGAUGAAUUUUGGUGGGAAGAUCCUUCCACAGACCGGGCAUGAUUUUCUGCUGGAAAGGAGAAAGAGCAUACACCACAGAUUUUACAGGAACGAUGUUUUUACCCAUCUUCGAGAAUAAUCGAUUCAACAACGACGCUAAGGAAUGAAUGAGCGAGAGCGAGAAUGAGAAUGCGAAUGAAA